UACAGAGGUCCCGAGCGUUGUUCGGAUUUAUUGGGCGUAAAGGGUGCGUAGGCGGCGGUGUAAGUUGGGUGUGAAAUCCCGGGGCUUAACCUCGGAAUUGCAUUCAAUACUGCUUCGCUAGAGUACUGGAGAGGAGGCUGGAAUUUACGGUGUAGCAGUGAAAUGCGUAGAUAUCGGGAGGAAGGCCGGUGGCGAAAGCGAGCCUCUGGACAGUUACUGACGCUGAUGCACGAAGGCCAGGGGAGCAAACGGG
rnacentral:rRNA from 1 species